rnacentral:misc_RNA from 1 species
CAGUGCUGCUCCAUCACACACACACACACACCCGUCUCCGCCUCUUGUCUUCUUCCUCACCCUUCCUCCCGCCUCCCCUACAAAUUGCCUCGCCUGUCCGUCCAUCCCUGUCGCCAGCCCACUCCUUGCACAGUUGCACUUGCCACCGUAUCGACCAACAACUGGUACGUACGAGCGACCUUGGCUAGCAACAACCGGGAGAGGAGAGGAGAGGAGGGAUGGUUCGCUCUUCCGCUGCCACGGAGGUGGGCCAGGUGCCGGACGGGAGGCCGCUGCCGGCUCCCGUGGCCACCGGCGGCGGCGGCGGCGGUACCGGCACGGGAGGCGGGCGGGAGCCGGAGGGCCUGCCGUGCCCGCGCUGCGAGUCCGCCAACACCAAGUUCUGCUACUACAACAACUACAACCUGUCCCAGCCGCGCUACUUCUGCCGGGCCUGCCGCCGCUACUGGACGCGCGGGGGAGCGCUCCGCAACGUCCCCGUCGGCGGCGGCACGCGCAAGGCCACGCCCGCCGGCCGCCGCAAGCGCGCCGGCCCGGCGCCCGCAACCGCGGCGCCGCCUGCGCCUCCGCCUCCGAGCGCGCUCCACGGCUCGCUGCUGCGCCCGUACGGUGGGCUGUCCUUCGCCGCGCCGGCCCUGGCGUCGCCGCUCGCCGCCGUGGACCCGGACCGCCGGCUGCUGGACCUCGGCGGCAGCUUCACGUCGCUGAUCGCGCCAGGGGCCGACGUCGGCGUCCACUUCUCCGCCGAGUUCCUCGUGGGCGGACUCGCGCCGGCGGCCCUGCCUCGCGCGACCGCCUCUGUCCCUGCUCUGCCGCCACCGCCACCGCAGCAGCAUCAGCAGCCGACGACGGUGUCCCAGGCGUUGCCGGAAGGCCUGUUCUGGAGCAUGGGGUGGCCGGACCUGUCCAUCUAAGAGCUCCAUGCCUCCGCCGGUGUCCCAGGCGCGCUCGGUGCAUCGUCCGUCACCGGUGCCCGGCUAAUGACUGCUGCGUGCGGGUGCAUCAUCGCUAAUCUAGCUUUUUCUCUUUCUCUCUUUUAGCUGUUUGAAUUAACAGUAGACUGUAGUGCUGCAUCCAGGUGAUCUUUUUGAGGGGGGCAAGUUGUUUAGUCAUCAUGAAACUUUUCCAGUCAGGAAGGAACUGUGAGAGAGUGAUCUGAUCUGCUGAGGAUGUCAUGAAAAACUCUGCAUGCUCGGUUGCCUUGCCUGCAUGAGGACCUGUGCUGCAGUGCGUGAGCAAUUGAGCUUGACCAACCGAUACCAUCAGCAGAUUGUUUUUUGGGGGGUCGAAAACGUUGAGCUGAUUGGUGCUGUGCUGUUUUCUGUGAUUUUCCUUUCGCGUGAUCUUCUUCGGUGCCGUUUGUCU